ACGGGGGGUGCAAGCGUUGUUCGGAAUCAUUGGGCGUAAAGCGCGUGUAGGCGGCUUAACAAGUCAGAUGUGAAAUCCCUGGGCUUAACCCAGGAAGUGCAUUUGAAACUGUUUGGCUUGAGUAAGGGAGAGGAAAGUGGAAUUCCUGGUGGAGAGUUGUCAUUCGUAGAUAUGAGGAGGAAACGCGGGGGCGAAGGCAGCUUUCAGGACCAAUACUGACUCUGAUACGCGAAAGCGUUUGUAGCAAAAAG
rnacentral:rRNA from 1 species